rnacentral:lncRNA from 1 species
GUAAUUUGUGUUUUGUGUAAAAAAUCUACUGAUAAUGAUAAAUAUCAUUUUGGAUGUUAUAAAUUAUGGGAAAAUGAUCUGCUCAAGAUAUAUGCAAAACAUGCACUGACUCAAUAUAAGUGGUAUUUCUUAUCAAGUAAAAGUUGUUAUAGUUGAAAGAGCUUUUCAAAAAUUCACAAAGCAAUCAAUUUGUGAAAGUUCAUUAUCAGCAUUGAAAGUCAAUUUUUGUGGGUCAAGUAUACAGUUACAGACAUAUUAUAUAUAGUUUU